rnacentral:lncRNA from 1 species
AUUAAACCACAGGGGAUUUCCUCAUUAUUGCGACAAUUCCAUCCCCAGAAAUAUCCCACGUGCCUGAGGUGGCGGCCAUCUCUUCGUAGGGAGACUGUCGGAGCUUCCUUUUAAACAGACUCUGCCCUGUCUCUGUGAAGACGUUCAGGAAGUCAUGAGCGAAGAGACCGUGAGCCUCUCCCAAACCCCGCAUGUGCUGACAUCUCCACGUGUGCUGUGUCCUGGGUAGGCUUUCUUCAUAGACCGUGCUUCCGUCUGUCUGGAGUUUCCGCUUCAUCCAUCUGUCCACAGGGAGGACGCACACCCCUGAGUCCGAGGCCACACCACGCAUUCUGUAGAAACUCUCACUGCCCAGGGAGCACACUUUAUUAGGAAAGCUCCAGGUUCACAGAGGCUCUGGGCUCUCUCUGGGCCCGACGCCCUUCACUGUUUGAACUCAGCAGCUGCCUGCAGGUGCGGAGGACAUGCACCUUCCAGCCUUUGUCCUUUCCUGGCCUUCUCGUCAAUCUUACCGUCUGUCGGCCCUAAGUGGAUGCUCGGGGGAUCCUGCUCUGGAACAAGAGUCUCUCCUGCACCCACCCAGUCUGAGCACCAGCCAAGAUCUUUCCCUUCUUAUUCUCACCUUCCUACAGUUUGCAGAGAUGAACAUGGAUGAGAGGAGACUCAGGGACCUGAUGACCCCCGACGGCCGUGGGCU